UACGGAGGGUGCAAGCGUUAUCCGGAUUCACUGGGUUUAAAGGGUGCGUAGGAGGGCAGGUAAGUCAGUGGUGAAAUCUCCAAGCUUAACUUGGAAACUGCCGUUGAUACUAUCUGUCUUGAAUACUGUGGAGGUGAGCGGAAUAUGUCAUGUAGCGGUGAAAUGCUUAGAUAUGACAUAGAACACCAAUUGCGAAGGCAGCUCACUACACAAUCAUUGACUCUGAGGCACGAAAGCGUGGGGAUCAAACAGG
rnacentral:rRNA from 1 species